rnacentral:rRNA from 1 species
UACGUAGGAAGCAAGCGUUGCCCGGAAUUACUGGGCGUAAAGAGCUCGUAGGCGGGGGCGUGCGUCCGAGAAGAAAUCUCAAGGCUCAACCUUGGGGCUAUCUCGGAUACGGCGCUUCUUGAGGGUGAGAGAGGAAAGCGGAAUUCCAGGUGUAGCGGUGAAAUGCGUAGAUAUCUGGAGGAACACCAGCGGCGAAGGCGGCUUUCUGGCUCAUUCCUGACGCUGAGGAGCGAAAGCGUGGGUAGCGAACGGGAUUAGAUACCCCGGUAGUCCACGCCGUAAACGAUGGAUACUAGGUGUAGGAGGUAUCGACCCCUUCUGUGCCGGAGUUAACACAUUAAGUAUCCCGCCUGGGGAGUACGGUCGCAAGGCUGAA